CACGUAGGGCGCAAGCGUUGUCCGGAAUUACUGGGCGUAAAGGGCUCGUAGGCGGUCUGUUGCGUCGGGAGUGAAAACUCAGGGCUUAACCCUGAGCCUGCUUCCGAUACGGGCAGACUAGAGGUAUGCAGGGGAGAACGGAAUUCCUGGUGUAGCGGUGAAAUGCGCAGAUAUCAGGAGGAACACCGGUGGCGAAGGCGGUUCUCUGGGCAUUACCUGACGCUGAGGAGCGAAAGUGUGGGGAGCGAACAGG
rnacentral:rRNA from 1 species